UUAAGUUCAGCGGGUAUUCCUACCUGAUUCGAGGUCAACUCUAAAAAAGUUUGGGGUGUUUUACGGCAGUGGCCGCCGCCGGGCCCCUGUUGCGAGGUGUUAGCUACUACGCAGAGGAGGGCCGCGACGGGGCCGCCAAUUCAUUUAGGGGGCGGCGACAAGAAGGUUGUCGCCGGUCCCCAACACCAAGUCCACAGGGG
rnacentral:misc_RNA from 1 species